AGGUGUGAUCAUACAAACAUUAAUGCACCGGAUCCCAUCAGAACUCCGCAGUUAAGCGCG
rnacentral:rRNA from 1 species